AAGCACCACGUGCCACGCAUUACUCCAGACCGGCGCUCAGAACCCAUCAAUCGGCCUCGGGUGUUCGCAUUGUUGCGUCGUGUGUGGUUGGCGCUCUUCCGUGCGGGUUUGGCGACCAAAGCUCGGUAGAUUUCUCGCCGGACUUCGUGGGUUGGCGGCGGACCGUGUGUGGUCGUGGUCGGAGCCGUCCACUGCCAGUCGCAGGUAUGUGACACCUUUAUGGUAUUCGUCGUCUCCGCCGCAUCGGUUAGGCCUUGGAAUUCGUAGGAGAUAACCACCGUGCCGCUAAUUGUGUUCUGCGCCGUGCCCCAGCCAUGGUCACCGCCGCGGUGGCCCUGGGUUCUGCCGCUGGGCGAUGUCGGGCGGAGGAGAAACAACCCUGUGCGUAGAUCUGUUGGCAAACGACCAUGAUUAGAAGUUAGGGGCUUGCCUCGGCGACUGUCUGAUCUUCAACGGAUGGAUGGGAUUAGAACAUGGUAGCGUUUCGAGUGAAUCGAUCUAGCGCGUUGAUCUGAAAGGAAGUGGUCUAGAGUCAACCGGGUAGUUUUAAAUCUUGGCCGCCGAUCGUUGAUCCGAGGGCCUGCGUUGCUUACUGGUGUAGGGUUAUGAACGAAUGAAUCUACGGCGUUGGUGGACGAUCCAACGGCCGGUAAUGUGUGCGGGUUCAUAAGUAAUCAGAUCUAAUCUGGGCACUUGAAAGAUGAUCCGAUGGGCCAGAUCACACCAUACCCCUUCACCGAGCCCAAUUAGCAUAUAAGCCCCUCAACUUCAUUAUAAUCAACCCACCGUCCACUACGGGGUUAGUCUGAGUCUAGAGAAUUUUAUACGCAAGCCCCUAUCUUCUCUGGUAUUUCGCGCGCAGUCUAGAGGACAGUGAAAACUCGGAAAUUAAUUUUGGAAAUCGAUUUUAAUACAAAAUUAAUUACAGAAACUUGUAAAAUUCAUAUAAAAUUUAUUUUAACUUCUUUUUAGCCCAUUCUAGUUUCUGUAAUUUUCUAAUAAUAUUGUUCAUCACAUAGUGUCUCUGGAUUGACAUGAAAACUGUAUUAAAAUUAAUCUCUUAAUUAAUCAUGUAUUAAAUACAUAAGACCUUCGAAAAUUCAUAACUCCUCCGUUUUAAUUCUGAAUUGACUCGUUCCAGUUGGGUUAACUUAGUAUAAAUAUUUACUACGCAGUAGCAACAUUGAUUAUAUGAUAUCCCAUACUUUUAUAAUUAUUAGGUAGCUAAUUUAAUUAAUCUAUGUUUAUUGGAUUAGCUUUUCUAAUAUUAAUAUAGUAUUCUAAUAUGAUAGUUAUAAAUUGACUAAAAGAUGAUUUACAAUCAAGUAAUGACUUAGAUUAAAGUUGAACUAAUUAUUUAUUAGAUAUUCUCUCAUAUGUUGUAUACUAACCAAUUUAUAAUAUAGUUUAACAUUUAAUCACAUAGAUCUUCUAUAAAUCAUAACUCCUUAAUCGUGACUCCGAUCCUAGUAGUUCUCGAUCCCACGAUCUCAUAGCUUCACGUAGAUUAUUAUUACAUAGUUUAUUCUUAUGUUUGGUGUGAUGUUAAUUUUGUAUAUACCAUGUUUCUUUGUAUUGUUACGACUAGCAGUGAGGUCACGAGGAUCUGAAGAUCAUCCUGGUACCUGGAAUCUCAAGUCCUAG
rnacentral:lncRNA from 1 species